AUGCAGACCUGUUCCUGCUUUGUAUUUAUUAUGGUUUGUGCAUUGAAAGCAGCCCCCAGUCACUCAGACUGACAAGCAAAACACCACAAUGAAGGUAGAGUAUCAUUUCAGCUCCUAUGAUGGUCAAAAAGGGAAUGUACACAGCAUAACAAUGUGAUUAACUGCUGCAUUCUGAUCAGAAAAUCAAUGUAAAGACACUUAGAUGAGACCACAAGGAUUGUUGCAUACUGCUGAAACCUUGUAAGUGACUCCAUUAGACAACAUGAUAACAUCAUACUGUACCUGGGAGAUGUUUCCUUCCUGCUCUUACAGAUAGAUGAAACUUCAUUACAACAUCUCUAACUCUAUCACUUACUCGUCAACGACCCAUUCUGGGGUUUCUUUGACACAAAUGAAACAGAGCUUGAGUGUGUGUGUGUUAGUUAGUGACCUAGCUAUGAGCUUGUGUUUGGAGAUUUUGGUCUUACAGGUGUUUAAGUCACUUAUAAGAUAUGGUUAAUGAUAGCAUUAAAUGCACUCACCUCAACAAAGAGAUCUACACAAGUAACCAGCACCAGUAUACGUUGUUUACUUAACACGCCAGUGUGAAACCUCUGCUGCCCCCCUGUGGAUUUCUGAGUAAUUACCAAAACAGUCUGCAUGCUCUAAGAUUACGGUACAGUUCAGGUUGGUACAGUACGGUAUGGUUUGGAAUGGUAAAGCCCUUUGUCAGACUGAGUACAGUACAUUUUUAUUGGUAGACAGUGUGUGGGCUGUGAUGGUCGUGUCAGUGGCAUGACGUUGUACCCAUGCGAUGGCAACGAACGGUGUUAGUGAACGCAACACAACAGACAACAAUGGAGGACGUCCAGCAGCUGUUGUUUUCCUGCUCGGUUUGUGGCCGUUUGUCUCAACAAGGUGUCGAGCUUUGCGUGAGAAUAGACUGCGGGUGUUAAAGAAACACCGGUCGCAAAAGGGGGAUGUUUUACUUUUGCCCAAUCAGCUGACUGUUGUAGGUGUUUCUAGCUCCACUGUGCCAUUUUACUCUGGUACCUUAAGAGAAGGGGGCUAAAAAAUGGAACGGUCGGGACUGGUUAUUUUGGUUCUAUUCCUAAUAGAAACACAAUAAAUACGUACCGUAUUUUUCUCAUAUCACACACACAGAGUGUAAGAAAGAAGAGAAACUGAUGUCUCUGUCUCUACGGAACUUUGUGAUGUUAUUUUCUUGCUGUUUUUAUCUUGUUUGAGCUGCAUCCAGGAAACUUAACUGGAGCUGCAUGGUGAAGGAACAGCAGUGGCUGUGACUGGCAUAUGCAGAGAACUCUCGCGAGAACCUCCAACCUGCAAGUGACUCCCAUAUUUUCAGCAGUCUCCUGAUCGUCUCUUGAGUCACCACGUAGUCAGCCUGAAUGCAUUUCCAAUGCAUCCUCUUGUAUCCAUGGAGCAUGCCACACUGUAUCUGUCCAACUGAUCCUGGAGAAACAUUGCUAUAUGUCUAGCAGAUCUGAAUGAACUUUCCUUCAACCGCAAAGUCCUCAGGUGUCUGUGUAAAGUCGACAAACUAAUGGUAAUACCAUCUGUGUGACUUAAGGACAGGACUAUCUCCCAGUGAUUACCCAGAUUAAAGUAAAACUUGAUUAACUAAACAAGCCGUCCAUGUUGUUAUAAAUCAAACUCUCAAUAAAGGAAUGAAUGCGUUUAUUCUUCCAAAUGCUCUCUAAACUCAGAAAAAAAAUGAUUGAGUAAAUCAGAAAAAAAAUUACCUCCAUCA